rnacentral:rRNA from 1 species
GUGGCGAGAGGAUUCAGUGGGGGGCGGUGGACGUCGGACCGGUUACGUUCUUCCCUGCCCACGGGCGGGCGCGUCCGGUCCUCGACGCUCUCCGCCGUCUCCUACGCAUUUGGCUCUCGUCCGAAUGGACGCCGCAGCCGGUUGGGUAUGCAAGCACGACGGCCUUAAAGGCGGACGACGGGCAGGUGGCCGGUGGGGGGGGUUCGUCCCUCCUCGCCGGUUGUUAGCCCGUCCGCCGGUGGCCCGUCACCCGACCGUGGUAAAAAUAAACCCGGGGGUCAAACCCCGGGGAAUGAAAAGACGCCUCCACCUGCGAGUUGUGGUCAGCAACCCAGGGGCUAUCCCUAGCGGGUCACACGUCUUUUGGCGUGGAUCCGCGAACGGAGGAACCCUGGUGGGGUUGCCAAGCCGCGGGAGGGGCAUGGAGGCUAGCGGCGAGUAGGUCGGUCACCCACCCGACCCGUCUUGAAACACGGACCAAGGAGUCUAACAUGUGCGCGAGUCAAUGGGACUUGAAUAGGCCCAGAGGCGCAAUGAAAGCAAAGGAACCUCCCCCUCGCGGGGGGGUCCGAGUUGGGAUCCGGCCCCCGACCAAAGGGGUCGGCGCACCAGCGACCCGUCCUAUCCGGCUCCGUACCGGUUGGGCGGCGUGUGAGCGCACACGUUGGGACCCGAAAGAUGGUGAACUAUGCCCGGGCAGGACGAAGUCAGAGGAAACUCUGGUGGAGGUCCGCAGCGG